UACGGGGGGGGGCAAGCGUUGUUCGGAAUUACUGGGCGUAAAGGGCUCGUAGGCGGCCAACUAAGUCAGACGUGAAAUCCCUCGGCUUAACCGGGGAACUGCGUCUGAUACUGGAUGGCUUGAGUCCGGGAGAGGGAUGCGGAAUUCCAGGUGUAGCGGUGAAAUGCGUAGAUAUCUGGAGGAACACCAGCGGCGAAGGCGAGUCCCUGGACAACACCUGACACUGAGGCACGAAAGCUAGGGGAGCAAACAGG
rnacentral:rRNA from 1 species